rnacentral:pre_miRNA from 1 species
UACCAACUUUCCAUAAUCAUUUUAUCUCACAUUCAUCCGUAUUUCAGCAAAUUUUUGUUUAUGAGAAUAUGGAUGAAUGUGAGAUGAGAUGCCUGUGGCAUGGAUUGUCC